GACGAACCGAGCGAACGUUGUUCGGAAUCACUGGGCUUAAAGGGCGCGUAGGCGGGCCGCCGCGUCCGGGGUGAAAUCCUCCCGCUCAACGGGAGAACGGCCUCGGAUACGGGCGGUCUGGAGGGGGGUAGGGGCGUGCGGAACUGUGGGUGGAGCGGUGAAAUGCGUUGAUAUCCACAGGAACUCCGGUGGCGAAGGCGGCACGCUGGACCUCACCUGACGCUGAGGCGCGAAAGCCAGGGGAGCGAACGGG
rnacentral:rRNA from 1 species